rnacentral:rRNA from 1 species
GUGGGGAAUAUUGGGCAAUGGGGGAAACCCUGACCCAGCAACGCCGCGUGAGGGAAGAAGGUUUUCGGAUUGUAAACCUCUGUCCUUGGUGACGAAGGAAGUGACGGUAACCAAGGAGGAAGCCCCGGCUAACUACGUGCCAGCAGCCGCGGUAAUACGUAGGGGGCAAGCGUUGUCCGGAAUGACUGGGCGUAAAGGGCGUGUAGGCGGCCGAUUAAGUCUGGAGUGAAAGUCCUGCUUUCAAGGUGGGAAUUGCUUUGGAGACUGGUUGGCUUGAGUGCGGAAGAGGUAAGUGGAAUUCCCAGUGUAGCGGUGAAAUGCGUAGAUAUCGGGAGGAACACCAGUGGCGAAGGCGGCUUCCUGGCACAAUACUGACGCUCAUGUGCGAAAGCUAGGGCAGCGAACGGGAUUAGAAACCCCUGUAGUCC